rnacentral:rRNA from 1 species
AUACGGAGGGUGCAAGCGUUACUCGGAAUCACUGGGCGUAAAACGCGCGCAGGCGGUCUUUUAAGUUGGAUGUGAAAGCCUACGGCUCAACCGUAGAACUGCAUCCAAAACUAUUUAGCUAGAGUGUGGGAAAGGAAGAUGGAAUUAGUUGUGUAGGGGUAAAAUCCGUAGAGAUAACUAGGAAUACCAAAAGCGAAGGCAAUCUUCUGGAACACUACUGACGCUGAGGCGCGAAAGCGUGGGGAGCAAACGGGAUUAGAAACCCUGAGUAGUCCC